GACUUGGUCCAACUCCUUCUGCUCUAUGGGGUAGUAGAUCUUUCUUAGAGAACAUUGAUGAAGAGGAUUCAUCUAAUGAAAUUGUACAAAGGUUAGAACAGGAGAUAAAUGAAUUGAAGGCGAAACAAAAUGAAGAAAUUAAUAUGAUGAAACAAAAUCAGGAUAAUAUGCAAUUAGAAUUACUCCAAAUGCGACAAUUCAUGCACAAACAUGCUCCUAAUGAAUCCAUGCCUCAAAAUAUCAAUGGCACCUCAAGUGGAUAGGUCCACGAAGCUGAUAGUGGCCAUGGACAAAUAACACAAACAUGAGGGAUACCUAUUGUUGCUGAAAAUACUCAAACUUCUCAUGGUGCACAAUCUGAUGUUCUGGUUUAUCUCGUGUUUCUAACCUGCCAGUCAAUGUUUCAAGUCUGACUAAAGAUCAGUCCUUCUACAUACUGUCCCACUUGCAGCACUCUCAUCUUUCACCACACACUAAUCCUCAUAGCAUCUGCUAACUUUACAGGUAAAAUCUUGACUGAUAAUGUUUUGUUCAAAACUUAUUUACUUAAUAAGAUUAGUGAUACCAUUUGGACUAUAGAUUCUGGAGCAUCAGAUCACGACAUCGAUCUGACCUUUCUUUACUCUUCAAUGUUAAAACAUUACCUUUUCCUUGUCUUGUUUCACUUCUAAAUGGAUACAAAGGUAAAGUCUCUAACAUUGUCUCCUUAACACUGUUUCCUGG